AGAAGGGAACUAUUGUGUAGAAAGAAUGCCCAAAUGAUGAAGAAAGAACAUAUUUGCUCACUCUUAUUAAGGUAAUUGAGAAGUAAACCCUGUGUUGGCUGUUUUCUAUCAGGGAAAACAAAGUGAAAGAGACUGAGAAGGGAGAAAACUAACAGCACACUCUUCCGUCAGUAAGCGUGUUUACCAACCUUUCAGCAUCAGCUCAAGCAUGCUGAGGGUUUGUUCAUUCCAGUGUUAUGACUGGUCUCCUGACUCAGCCUCCCUGCACUCUGACCUGAUUUCCUCUCUGGCCGGCUCAUCUUCUCUCCUGAUCCUGGGCUCGUCUCCAACUUGGUAACAAACGUCACUUUUUGGAUAAUCCUUUUGUUUGUUGGCCUGGUUUUGACAUUCUGUAAGACAAUAUAUUAGCAAAUACCUGAACUUUGCCAAAUGUUUUCUAAUCCAGUUGCUUCCUACAGCCAGUUGCUUGCCUAAAGCAUUGAUCUUGAUAGUACCCUAUGCACAUCUGAUGCAGCCAGGGACUCAGGAGCAGUCGGAGAUCAGUUCAGGCCAUUACUGAUGGAACAGAAACCCCUUCUUUGCUGCAGCUGCAUGGUCCUCAGCCACUCAGCUUUUGCCCACUUUGGUCUCUGCCACACUUUUCUAUGCCCUAAAAAUGUCUUCCUAUAAGCCCUCAUUUGCAAGAAGGAGCCUUCCUUUUCAGCAGCAAAAAUCCGCUUGACCAAAGUUCCAGCUUCACCUAGGAAUCUGAAGGGCUAUUUCCUUUUAAAUCAAGAAAAAUUCACACUAUUAAUAAAAAUAAUAGCUACCACUUAUUAAGUGCUUCCUAAGUGCCAGACACCAUGCUAAGCGCUUCAUCUGUGUGAACUCACUCAAUCAUCACAACAACCACAUGAGGUAAGUACUAUUAUUAUCUCCAUUUU